UACGAAGGGGGCUAGCGUUGUUCGGAUUUACUGGGCGUAAAGCGCACGUAGGCGGAUCGUUAAGUCGGGGUGAAAUCCUGGAGCUCAACUCCAGAACUGCCUUCGAUACUGGCGAUCUUGAGUCCGGAAGAGGUGAGUGGAACUCCUAGUGUAGAGGUGGAAUUCGUAGAUAUUAGGAAGAACACCAGUAGGCGAAGGCGGCUGCCA
rnacentral:rRNA from 1 species